rnacentral:rRNA from 1 species
AACGAACGCUGGCGGCAUGCCUAACACAUGCCAGUCGAACGAGACCUUCGGGUCUAGUGGCGCACGGGUGCGUAACGCGUGGGAACCUGCCCUUAGGUUCGGAAUAACUCCCCGAAAGGGGUGCUAAUACCGGAUAAUGUCUUCGGACCAAAGAUUUAUCGCCUUUGGAUGGGCCCGCGUUGGAUUAGCUAGUUGGUAGGGUAAAAGCCUACCAAGGCGACGAUCCAUAGCUGGUCUGAGAGGAUGAUCAGCCACACUUGGACUGAGACACGGCCCAGACUCCUACGGGAGGCAGCAGUGGGGAAUAUUGGACAAUGGGCGAAAGCCUGAUCCAGCAAUGCCGCGUGAGUGAUGAAGGCCUUAGGGUUGUAAAGCUCUUUUACCCGGGAUGAUAAUGACAGUACCGGGAGAAUAAGCUCCGGCUAACUCCGUG